rnacentral:rRNA from 1 species
UGGAAAGAUUUAUCGGUCUGGGAUGGGCUCGCGGCCUAUCAGCUUGUUGGUGGGGUAGUGGCCUACCAAGGCGACGACGGGUAGCCGGCCUGAGAGGGCGACCGGCCACACUGGGACUGAGAUACGGCCCAGACUCCUACGGGAGGCAGCAGUGGGGAAUAUUGCACAAUGGGCGCAAGCCUGAUGCAGCGACGCCGCGUGAGGGAUGACGGCCUUCGGGUUGUAAACCUCUUUCAGCAGGGAAGAAGCGAAAGUGACGGUACCUGCAGAAGAAGCGCCGGCUAACUACGUGCCAGCAGCCGCGGUAAUACGUAGGGCGCAAGCGUUGUCCGGAAUUAUUGGGCGUAAAGAGCUCGUAGGCGGUUUGUCGCGUCUGCUGUGAAAACCUAAGGCUCAACCUUGGGCUUGCAGUGGGUACGGGCAGACUAGAGUGCGGUAGGGGUGACUGGAAUUCCUGGUGUAGCGGUGGAAUGCGCAGAUAUCAGGAGGAACACCGAUGGCGAAGGCAGGUCACUGGGCCGCAACUGACGCUGAGGAGCGAAAGCAUGGGGAGCGAACAGGAUUAGAUACCCUGGUAGUCCAUGCCGUAAACGUUGGGCACUAGGUGUGGGGCUCAUUCCACGAGUUCCGUGCCGCAGCAAACGCAUUAAGUGCCCCGCCUGGGGAGUACGGCCGCAAGGSUAAAACUCAARAAAUUGACGGGGGCCCGC